ACUGUUAGAAAUUGCUGUAAAUUUACGGCCAAAUUUCAACAGUAUAUUCCUGUCUUGUUCAAAAGCAGUACAUUGCUGUUUUUUUGCGUUUGUAAUAUGACGUAGAAAAAUUAUAACGGCAUUUUAACGUAAUUAUUGCUCGAGGGAAACAAAACGGUACUUAACAGUAUUUUUGACUUGACAUCGGAAGAGCUGCAGUGAGCACGCAUGGAUUUUUCAUCCAUCUUCAUACUUAUAAUAGUGAUAAAAGCACCAACUGCGACAUCGUGAGGGAAGUUGGAUUCCUCACACGGAUAAUUCCCGAUUACAGGGCAGUUCAUCGGGAUAAACCCAGAAAAAGGCACCAAGGUUGGAGGAGUCAUUUCAAAACGGACGGGGAAGCUCGCCCAGAAAAACAAAACAGUGAACCCUCGUGUCUCCAGUCUGCUUAAAAAAUUGAUGGAUUUUGAGUGGGACUUUAUACAAGUAUUACACCCACACACCCACACACACACACACACACACACACGCAUAUACGCGCACA